rnacentral:lncRNA from 1 species
UUUAUUUUGAUUUCGAACUCAUUUUCUUCUCUUUAUUUUUCUUGCAUGGUGAGAAAACUAUAAAUGUUGUCUAUGAUUUGGGAUAAUUAGACUCACAAAUUCAAUAACCUAACAAAGAGUUCAUGGUCCAUAUUACAAAAAAAGAAAAUAAUAAUAAUAACAACAAUUUAAAAGGAUAAGAUUAAAGGUAAGACACUUACAUGGUUUUAUUUUCACUAAUAGUAAGAUAACUAAAGAAUGAAGUACAAAAUAUGCAUUUUUCUACACAGCACCGUCUCAGAGACCACAGGCAGACAUCUAGAGGAGAGCAAACAUUUGAGCUGCUAGCACCGUCUCGUAGACCACGGAAAUAUUCAUGCAUCACGAGGAUGUUUGAACAUUCCUAGUAGCUACAGGAUAUCAAAAAUUUGAGUCGCUUGCACAUGAAAUCGCAUACUUUAUUUGAUUUUUG